rnacentral:rRNA from 1 species
UACGUAGGGGGCAAGCGUUGUCCGGAUUUAUUGGGCGUAAAGAGCGUGUAGGCGGCCAUACAGGUCAGCUGUGAAAACUCGAGGCUCAACCUCGAGACGUCGGUUGAAACCAUCUGGCUAGAGUCCGGAAGAGGAGUGUGGAAUUCCCGGUGUAGCGGUGAAAUGCGCAGAUAUCGGGAGGAACACCUGUGGCGAAAGCGGCUCACUGGACCAUAACUGACGCUGAUGCACGAAAGCUGGGGGAGCAAACAGG